UGCUUAUGUAGGUGUCUGGCCAGGAUUUUCCCCUGCCACUCUGCCGAUAUACUACACAGGGUUGGCUAGUUUUCCCCAUAGGUAUACUUGGGUGGAGAGUUUUUGUAUGAAUUGGAUUGAGACUGGAUUUCGGAUGAAUUGCAUUUUGAGCUUGCUUGAUUGACUGAAUUCAAAGAAUGGUUUGAAACUUGAUUUCUGUUGAAUGAUUGUUUGAUGUGUUGGAUUUAGAUUGAUGUUUUGAAAUAAAGAUUGUGUUAAUUGUAU
rnacentral:lncRNA from 1 species